rnacentral:lncRNA from 10 species
GUUUCUUAUUUCCUUUGGAUCUAUCAAAGUGUUUUUCCCCAAGUGGCACCUGGGAAAACAUAUUCUAUUCAUUUAUUUUAUAACUGUUCCCUUGACCUCUUUAUUGCUUCCCUAUUACAACCCAAGAUGCUCUUGUAAACCUGACUUAAUAUUGGCAGUCUUCAUCCCUUGCAAAUGGAAGUGAUGACAGACCCAAUACUUUGUGUAAAAAUAUUUUGCUAUUUCUAUACAAAAUAUUUUAUUAAUGGAAACCACAUGUUAUGUAUUUUACAUAUGUUAUGACUUGAAAUUUAUGUUAUGACUUGAAAUUGGGGAAUCUGAUAUGUCUCUAAUAAUAAAGGCUUCACAGUACAA